rnacentral:rRNA from 1 species
UAUAUUUUUUUUGUUUAUUUUUUGGUAUUGCAUAUCAGAGAUUGAGAAUUUCAUUUAUUUAUGAAAAAUAGAAUUAAAAGGUUUAAAAGGGAAUAGUUUUAUUGUUUUAAAAUAAGAAUUAUCUCUUUUAGUGUUGAUAUGUCGACUUUUACGAUAUCUGUUUUAGAGUAUUUAUUAGAAAAUUGUAAUUUUUUAGGAUUUUAUUGAAAAUUUGUGAUUUAAGGUGUCUGUUUUAUUGUGUUUUGUAACAGUUUUUAAGAUUUUUUAUUUUGAGAUUUAUAAAUUAUAAAAUUUUUUAUGAUUGAAUUAUAAUUUUAUUAGUAGUUGGUUUUAUAUUAAGUUUUUUGCAUUAAAUUUGUAGAAAGAAAUAGAAGUUUAGUCAAAUGUUUAUUAAAAUCUUAGGUUUUAUAUUAAAAUUCACCUCUGCUCCAUGAAAUUUUAAAUAGCAGUCUUAGCGUGAGGACAUUAAGGUAGCAAAAUAAUUUGUGUUUUUAUUGGAUUCCAGUAUGAAUGGGGGUUUUGGCUAAUAUUUUUUUUUAAUAGUAAUGAAUUUAAGAUUUUCUUAAGAAAUAGGAGUUUUAAUUAGGCAAAGAUAAGUCUUUGGAAAUUCUAUUGGUUUAAAACUAAGUUUUCUAGGGUAGAAUUGUUUGUAAUUUUAUUUACUAAAAAUAAUAAAAAGAAUUACUCCAGAGUUAACAGAAAAUCAUAUCUUAUCUAGAUCUUAUAGUAAGAUAAGUUUUACAUCGAUGUUGUAUUUUAUUUUUAAAGGGAGUAGAAAAUUUUUGAUUUGGAGACUGUUCUUCUUAAAAUAAAUAAACGUGAUAUUAGUUUAGCCCAUUGUGAAGUAGGGCGGUUUAUCUUGCUAAUUAAUUGAUUGUAAUUUAGCUAGUACGAAAGGAAUGUUAUAGAGACUUUAAGUCUUUUUAAGUUUUUAACUUAU